rnacentral:rRNA from 1 species
GACGAGGGGGGCAAGCGGUGUUCGGAAUUACUGGGCGUAAAGGGCGCGUAGGUGGUUCUGUAUGUCUACCGUGAAAGCAUACAGCUCAACUGUAUUUUGUCGGUAGAAACUGCAGGACUUGAGGCUGGGAGGGGCUGGUGGAAUUCCCUGUGUAGCGGUGAAAUGCGUAGAGAUGGGGGAGAACACUCGUGGCGAAGGCGGGACUCUGGGCCGAUACUGACGCUGAGGAGCGAAAGCGUGGGGAGCAAACAGG